AAAAACAAAACACCUCCAAAAGCCUGCAAAGUUGUUUUCUGUCUAUAUCUGACCUUUGGUGGAUUAUUUUUCCAAGGAUUUAUUGGAUUCACUAGGAAAAGUCCCCAGUCGCUGCCUUACUUCCUCCCAGUCCUGGGAUGUGCUGGUUUUCCUGGAACCUCUUGGCACAGGAGGGUCUGGUUUUGUGCCAGAAAUUAUUCCAUUAGUUUCUUGUACAACCAAUGCUCUCCUCCUCAGGGCUUGGGUUGUUUGGGCCAGAAUUUGCCAAGCAAGGAAACCUCCCGCUGUUGGGACUUUGAAGGAGCCCAGGACUGGGUCCUAGAAAAAGGAAAAAGAGUGGAUUUUGGUGCCUUCAAAGCGAGGGCAAACCUCAAGCCGGGAUCUGACACCGUCUCGAGAAGCUCUGUCACACCACCAGCCAUUCAAUAAAAGUACGUAUCUCUGAGCCAAGAGUUCCAGUUGGUGUCUUGAGGUUAUGUGACUGUCCAGCCCUUGGUCCAACGAGCAAACUGUGUUCUCCAGACCAGCAGCAUCACAAUCAACCCACAGCUUAUUAGAAAAGCAGAAUCUUAGGACCUACCUCAGUCCCACCAAAUCAGAAUCCUGAUGAACAAUAUCCCCGGGUGAUUAUGAAUCAUAUAUGGGAAGACACGCUUGAAAGGAUACCACCUUUAUAAUAUACAGCCUUUUGGAUGAGGGUGUGCCUGAGACAAAGUCAGUGAAGGUGGCCACAAAGCCUGUCCAUUUGCUGAUGUCACACUGGUGGAUCCUUCAAGGAGAGGAAGACAGGAGAGCUGGCUGCUUCGGAGGACCUUCAGCCUGAUCAACGAGCUGCGGACUUUGUGCCUGGCACUGAGUGUGCUCCAGGGACCUGAUAGGAGAGUUUCCAGUUUCCUCUGGCUGAAUUGAGCCGGUGCUGCCUGUAAGGUGAAGGCCCUGUGCUAAUCUCUUCUUGGCAAGUUAUACAGCCCCAUGAUUGAAAUCACCAGGAGAGCAUCGUGAGGGCCCGGGGUAUGUGUGCCACAGAAAGAAAGAAGGAGGAGCCAGCGUGGGGGUGACGGACAGCGAUGCCACUGACACUGGAGUCUUCCUACGAGAGUAAAGUGAGGCUGUGCGGCAGGCAGCCAGAAAGAAAGUCUUCUUCUAAGGGUUCAAGCUAGAUCUUAUUGGCCUCCAGAUAUCCACGACCGGAACCCUCUCCAUUUAAGACAAGAAUUCUUCUUCCUUUGGGAAGGCCAAGUGAAGCAAAUGGUGAUCCCAGGCAGUGAUAUCUGCAACUCAGAGACUUAAUCCUGAUGAGGCUGAUGAAUGUGUGUGUCGAGCUGUUCCUGGCAAACACAGCACCUAUCAGAUAUCACAGCAAAACAACAACAACGACAAAAACGGCUGUUCUUUGGAGUCUGUUUGCUCCUCGUAGGAGGGGUCUAGGUGGAAGGGGCUGACUUUCAAGUCGAGGCAGUGACUUCUGGGUCAGAUGUGUGUCUGGGACACAGGGAUGGGGACAGGAAUGUAUCUGGGAGGGUGGGCAGGGCUUGAUGUCUUUGGAACCAAGCUCCAGAAGGGCAAGGCACCCUCCUGGGGUUAUGACUGGGCCUGGUGAUGGCAACGAGGAAGGGUGUGUUUGCCGUUGAAGUAUUUAAGCAUUGUCUCACCAGUCAGAAAACAAGACUGGCUUGUUGCUUCAUCCCAGCCCAGGGCCCUUCAAACUCAGAUCUCAGCAUGACCCACACAGGCAACUGUUCUGAGUUUCUCAGUAGGCGACGUCCAGCCCAACUAGCAAGUCUCCCAACCGUAUUACUGAUUUUGAGGAUUAAAAAAAAAAAAGUUUCUCUUUAUUUUUGGCAGUUGAAUUUGGAUUUCAUUACAAUGAUCGACUUGAAAUACGUGCCUGAGUGUGGCUCUUGUACCACCCACAGCAGAAUCGCCUCAGGGGAGGGGCGUUGAAAAAUGCAUACUUUCCCCAGUCCCAUU